CGAGGGGCAGCGCGGGUAGCAAUACCUGGCGGCGACCGGCGCAAGGGUGCGUAACGCGUGAGCAAUCUGCCCGUGUCAGGGGGAUAAGCGAUGGAAACGUCGUCUAAUACCGCAUAACAACGGCCAUGGCAUCAUGGAUGUUUGAAAGAUUCGUCGGACACGGAUGAGCUCGCGAGACAUUAGCUGGUUGGCGGGGUAACGGCCCACCAAGGCUGCGAUGUCUAGGGGAACUGAGAGGUUGGUCCCCCACACUGGAACUGAGACACGGUCCAGACUCCUACGGGAGGCAGCAGUGAGGAAUAUUGGACAAUGGUCGGAAGACUGAUCCAGCCAUGCCGCGUGGAGGUUAAGGUCCUAUGGAUUGUAAACUCCUUUUGAGAGGGAGCAAUAAGUGUCACGUGUGGCACGAUGAGAGUACCUUUCGAAUAAGCAUCGGCUAACUCCGUGCCAGCAGCCGCGGUAAUACGGAGGAUGCGAGCGUUAUCCGGAUUUAUUGGGUUUAAAGGGUGCGUAGGCGGUUUUGCAAGUCAGCGGUGAAACGCACGGGCUUAACCUGUGACCUGCCGUUGAAACUGCGGGACUGGAAUGCGGAUGCUGUGGG
rnacentral:rRNA from 1 species